AGUGCGGGCCGGGCCCCUCUGGCGCUUCUGCGGAAGCGUGAUGUCGGACCGCAUCG
rfam:Sphingomonas wittichii RW1, complete genome.